rnacentral:rRNA from 1 species
UCCCGUUGCCAGCAGCCGCGGUAAUACGGGGGGGGCAAGCGUUGUUCGGAAUUACUGGGCGUAAAGGGUUCGUAGGUGGCUCGCUAGGUCAGACGUGAAAUCCCUCAGCUUAACUGGGGAACUGCGUCUGAGACUGGCAAGCUUGAGUGCAGGAGAGGAACGCGGAAUUCCAGGUGUAGCGGUGAAAUGCGUAGAUAUCAGGAGGAACACCUGUGGUGUAGACGGCUUACUGGACCGCAACUGACGCUGAAACACGAAAGCGUGGGUAGCAAACAGGAUUAGAUACCCUGGUAGUCCACGCCCUAAACGAUGCAUAUUUGGUGUGGGCCAUUCAUUUGGUCUGUGCCGGAGCUAACGCGUUAAAUAUGCCGCCUGGGGAGUACAGUCGCAAGGCUGAAACUCAAAGGAAUUGACGGGGGCCCGCACAAGCGGUGGAGCAUGUGGUUCAAUUCGACGCAACGCGAAGAACCUUACCUGGGCUCGAACGGCUUCUCAACGCCGGUGGAAACACUGGUAUCCCGCAAGGGAGUGGAGUCGAGGUGCUGCAUGGCUGUCGUCAGCUCGU